rnacentral:lncRNA from 10 species
CUGUCUGGCUUGGCGGACAACGAACCAUUUGGUCAGGGCCCAGGCGACCUGUGUGGUCCCGGGGAGGGGCAUGGAGAUGGUGACAGGGUAUCUUCUCCACGCCUCCCUCCCUUCCCCCACUGCCACCUCCGGUUUCCUGGGCAUGGGGCGAAGGGCGACAUCCGAGUCACUGAAGCAGGAAGCAGAGUUGGAAGAGGAGCCGGGAUGGAGAGGCUGGCGUGAGCACAGUGACCAGGACUGAUGCCAGUUGAGACUGGUUAGAGCCACGACAACUGACAAAAGCAGCCAAGGAAAGGAAGACAGCGGGAAGUUCACCGCCCAUUUCCAGAAGACAUGAAUAUUCUUCCCCUCGCUGUUCACCUCCAGCCCCUUCAGUACAGAAACCCUACAUUUAGCCCCUGCCCGCUCACCUGUUGAGAAGUUGAACUGUGGGCCAAGCUCCUGCUUCUCAGUCCGUGGUCACUGAAUAAAGUCGGCUUCGGUUUCAUGUAUCGGCUUCGUGACACCAAACAGGGAAGGACCCCAUCUUUUGGGCAACCGGCUUUCUCAGUAGCAUGUGGACAAGUCUGAGAGCUAAGGACUCCCGGGAAGACCCACUCACAGGAGGUCUCCAUGCUCUUGUGAAUUUUACUUCCUGGAAUGCUGCCAGGUUCUCACAGCGAAAAUCAGAGAAAAC